rnacentral:rRNA from 1 species
GACGAACGCUGGCGGCGUGCUUAACACAUGCAAGUCGAACGGUGAAGCCCUUCGGGGCGGAUCAGUGGCGAACGGGUGAGUAACACGUGAGCAACCUGCCCCUGGCUCUGGGACAACCACUGGAAACGGUGGCUGAUACCGGAUACGACCCGCCUCGGCAUCGAGUGUGGGUGGAAAGUUUUUCGGCUGGGGAUGGGCUCGCGGCCUAUCAGCUUGUUGGUGAGGUGAAGGCUCACCAAGGCGACGACGGGUAGCCGGCCUGAGAGGGCGACCGGCCACACUGGGACUGAGACACGGCCCAGACUCCUACGGGAGGCAGCAGUGGGGAAUAUUGCACAAUGGGCGAAAGCCUGAUGCAGCGACGCCGCGUGAGGGAUGACGGCCUUCGGGUUGUAAACCUCUUUCAGCUCCGAAGAAGCGAAAGUGACGGUAGGAGCAGAAGAAGCACCGGCUAACUACGUG